CUGACCGGACGCCCGUCUAGACGACGCGGCGGCAGAUGGUGACGCCGUCGGCGAUGGCGAGCUGGCAGACCUCGAUGCGCGGGUCGGCGGCGAGCUUGGCGUUGAGGUCCCUGAGGGCGGCGGAGAAGCGGGUGUCGAGGUCGGACAAGGGCGUGCCCGCCGGCAGCGCCACCGUGCCGCCCCAGAGCGUGUUGUCGUAGAUGAUGGUGCCGCCGACGCGCACCAGCCGCAGCAGCUGCUCGUGGUAGCGCACGUAGUUGGGCUUGUCGGCGUCCACGAACGCGAAGUCGUAGCUGGCCGCGCCAUCGUCCUCGGCGAGGAGCUCCUCCAGGCGCUCCAGGCCGGUGCCCUCGCGGAAGUCCACCUUGUGCGCCAUGCCGGCCUUCUCGAUGAAGGGGCGGCCCACCUCGUAGCACUCACGGUCGGUGUCGAUGGCCACGAUCUUGCCGUCCUCGGGGAGCGCCAGCGCGGUGGCCAGCAGCGAGUAGCCCGUGAACACGCCCACCUCGAUCGUCUUCUUGGCCCCUGCCAUCUUGAUCAGCAUCCCCAGCAGCUGCGCCUCGUCCGAGGACGACUGCAUGUAACCCCUGAAUCCAAAGAAUCAGAGCCAGAUCUAUCAGCAACCACAAGUAACUAGCUAGUAACAUCGAUCAAUCGAGAUGGACGUGGGAGCGUGCAUGCAGAGGAAGAAGAUGAUACUGUACGUACCAGGGGUGCUUGUCGGUGAUGAGGCGCAGGUCGCGCAUGCACUCGUGCUCGCGGGGGAACACGGUGGUGUCGAG
rnacentral:lncRNA from 1 species